rnacentral:rRNA from 1 species
CAAAGGGGAUUACCGGUGGCGGAUGGGCAUGCGGCGCAUUAGCUAGUCGGCGGGGUAACGGCCCACCGAGGCGACGAUGCGUAGGGGUUCUGAGAGGAAGGUCCCCCACACUGGUACUGAGACACGGACCAGACUCCUACGGGAGGCAGCAGUGAGGAAUAUUGGUCAAUGGGCGCGAGCCUGAACCAGCCAAGUCGCGUGAGGGAUGACGGUCCUACGGAUUGUAAACCUCUUUUGCCGGGGAGCAAGCGUGCGUUCGUGAACGCGCGUCGAGAGUACCCGGAGAAAAAGCAUCGGCUAACUCCGUGCCAGCAGCCGCGGUAAUGCGGAGGAUGCGAGCGUUAUCCGGAUUUAUUGGGUUUAAAGGGUGCGUAGGCGGGAUGCCAAGUCAGCGGUAAAAAUGCGGUGCUCAACGCCGUCGAGCCGUUGAAACUGGCGUUCUUGAGUGGGCGAGAAGUAUGCGGAAUGCGUGGUGUAGCGGUGAAAUGCAUAGAUAUCACGCAGAACUCCGAUUGCGAAGGCAGCAUACCGGCGCCCUACUGACGCUGAGGCACGAAAGCGUGGGUAUCGAACAGGAUUAGAUACCCUGGUAGUCCACGCAGUAAACGAUGAAUGCUAACUGUCCGGCUCGAAUGAGCGCUGG